rnacentral:rRNA from 1 species
CAGCCGCCACGGGAAUACGAAGGGUGCAAGCGUUACUCGGAAUUACUGGGCGUAAAGCGUGCGUAGGUGGUUGUUUAAGUCUGCUGUGAAAGCCCUGGGCUCAACCUGGGAAUUGCAGUGGAUACUGGGCAACUAGAGUAAGGUAAAGGAUAGUGGAAUUUCCGGUGUAGCAGUGAAAUGCGUAGAGAUCGGAAGGAACAUCUGUGGCGAAGGCGACUAUCUGGGCCAUUACUGACACUGAGGCACGAAAGCGUGGGGAGCAAACAGGAUUAGAUACCCCAGUAGUCCCUGUCUCUUAUAU